AGAUGUAGGAAUUUGAAGAAGUUUCCCCUUGCACCACAAACUGCUUCCCAUCUACAAACUUUCAGAGCAGCUCCUAAUUGGUUCGAUGCAUUAGAAUGGGCAGAUCAAAGCCAUCAGGCAAUAUUCCAGCCUUUCCUUGAAGCUAUCCCCAGUUGGAAUGAAGCUAUCCCCAGUUGGAAUGAAGAGGUAAAUCAUUUAUUUUAUUUUUUUUCUUCCCUUUUACAUCUGCUUUACAUCUGGGUCUAAUUUUGAUUAAUACUGUGUAUGAUACAAAUUUUUUUCUGACAUAUGAAUGUACAGAUACAAAAUCUUCUUAAGCCAUCCAUGAAGAUGGCUGAAAGUUAUUACUAGAUUUCUUCUUUUCUUUUUCUGCUUUUCAUUAUCAAAAUGGAAAAUUUUGAAGAUACGGAACUGAAUGCAUAAAAGCCAGUCAUCUACAUUCUCUACUGCACAACAGGAAUUCUAUUGCUGUUAAAUUUUCAGUAGCUAGCCUUAACGAUAUACAUCACCUUCAUCACACAUUAAAAUCAUAUUACAAUAAAGUUUCCACAUCAUAUUACUAUAAUCAAAUUUUUCUGACAUAGGAAUUCUGUUGCCGUUCAUCACACAUUAAAUCAUAUUACAAGUCUUUACUAUGAUCAGAUCUGUUUGAAGUGUAAAGUGUUAUGAAUAUGCAAGUCUUUAUUAGGUUGGGGAAUUGUCAGAUAUUCUUGGAUUAUUAUGUACAGAUGCACUAAUUUUGAUUAAUACCGUGUACUAUUAUCGUAUAGGAUGAUGAUGACACAACAGAGGAAAUGGUGGUUGCACAGCCUACACAAGAGACUACAACCGAAGAACCCAACAAAAAGAAAAUAACCAAUGUUGAACCAGGAGAACCAUCGAGGUCCUCUUAUAAGUCCAAGAAGCUUCUGCUGAAGUUNNNNNNNNNNNNNNNNNNNNNNNNNNNNNNNNNNNNNNNNNNNNNNNNNNNNNNNNNNNNNNNNNNNNNNNNNNNNNNNNNNNNNNNNNNNNNNNNNNNNGACUAGUGAUGAGAUCUUUCAAGAAAUGGCUGCAGAGCCAGUGUGAGAAGAUCAAAGAAACUACUACGGAGUUCAGUUGCAACCCUCUUACAAUUUCAAUGGCCUCUGCUGAGGUAACUCAAAUACUAAUUUGAUGUUUUGUUUUUGAUAAGUACCAUAAACUAAUUUUUUUAUAAAAAUGAUAUAUACAUCAUCGUCAUACUCGCAUUAGAAAUUAAACUGUCAAUCAAGGUUACAGUUUUGGUUGUGAAAGAUAUUUCACAAACCAUGUGCAAAACCAUGGGUACACGUACCGUACACUGAUCCUAUCCCAUAUAAAGGGUUGUGUAUAUGUCGACCUAAAGAUUAGUAAACAAACAAGAGGUUUAGUUAUGUGUCGGACUCAGUACCAUUAAAAACCGAUUGGCAAAUAUCAGUUUGAAACAUGCAAGAAAAACCUGAAUUGCAAAACCAUCAAUUAAUGAAUGAAACCAUUUUGUGAUCUUGGCGUGUUGAUUCAACCAUUUUGUGAGGAGAGAUCAUUCAUAUUCACUUAUUCAGUGAUUGACUUGGUAUUUUCAAGCACAUUAUUAGGCUUUCACUAUCAAUAUUUGGGUAAUUAGUUGUGCAGUCCUCCCUUGUACAAGACGGUGUUUGUUCAAAAGUCCUGGACAUUGUGUAUGUAUUUAUGUGGUUUUUACGUGUUGAUUGAUCGACCCAUUAGACAUCAAAUUGACUCAAAAAUUAAUAUAUAGGAACUGAGUCUGAUUAUUGGCAGUCCCCUUCUAGUAAGAGUAGACCCAUAGAAAGGCACCCAUGUCGACCACUCGACCCAGGGAAGCACCCUAAAGCAAUAGUUUCUUUCAUUUUCUCAGUACCUGUACGGCCUCUCCUCUCUUACAUCAUAGAGUCCCAGACAUUGAUAUCUGAAUUUUAAAUUAAAUAAAUGUUAUUAUUAAAUUAAUUAUAGAAAAAAAAAAAAAUUCUGUUGAAUUGGUCCCGCGGAAAAUUAGUUUAUGUAUUAGUAACUUAUAUGUUAUGGUUGAUGACUAUUGGGUCCUGUAGGUUGCAUCCAUAUCACUGACAUCUGCAUCGGCUGUGGAGAAUAACACAAGAGAGGAAUUAGCUAAGACCCAAGAGACCAAAAAGGUGGAAGGGGAGGUUGCGCAGCCUACACCAGAAAUUAGUGUUGAAGAACUGGUAUAAAACAUUGUACCAUCUACCUACUCUGCUACUCAGUCAAGUUUGUCAGACAUGAAUAUACUCUAUUUUAAGUUAGUAAUAUCAGUAAACUUUAAUCUGAAUUGCAGCAUUUUAUUUUUCUCAUCUAGUUCUUGUCUUGCUUUUUUGCAGUAAUCCAAAUAUCGACAUGGAAAAUUCGAUUCCAGAUGACGAAGUUUAAAAAUUCGGAGCACUUCAGACUCUUUGGAGUAACUUCGUCUAUUUUUAUUGUGAUUGUGAUGACCUGGUGUGUAAUCUUACAACUUUUAGUUGCUUUCUUCUUUGUUAUGUUGUUAUUGUCGUAUGUGAGUAUGCGACAAUAUGAUGUUAUCCAGACUCAACGGCAUAGGUCACUUUUACCUUUGUCCUUUGUUAACAACAUUCAUACACAGUAUGCGAUAAUAUGAUGAGGAUACGCCUUCCUUUUGUGAUUGAAUAUUAUUUCGUGCUUGGACCUU
rnacentral:lncRNA from 1 species